UACAGAGGUCCCAAGCGUUGUUCGGAUUCACUGGGCGUAAAGGGUGCGUAGGUGGUUGUGCAAGUCUGAUGUGAAAUCUCCGGGCUCAACCCGGAAAUGGCAUUGGAAACUGCAUGGCUAGAGGGUUGGAGGGGGGACUGGAAUACUUGGUGUAGCAGUGAAAUGCGUAGAUAUCAAGUGGAACACCAGUGGCGAAGGCGGCUCACUGGACAUGUAUUGACGCUGAGGUGCGAAAGCGUGGGGAGCAAACAGG
rnacentral:rRNA from 1 species